GGGUGGAAGCGAUGAGUUCUCCAGGGGC
rnacentral:piRNA from 1 species